AUGGGUCACAGCACAGACAUGAGGACCCCAACUCAGCUUGCAGGGUUGUUGCUGCUCUGCCUUAUAGGUGCCAGAUGUGAUUUCCAGAUGACCCAGUCUCCAGCCUUGCUGUCUGCAUCUGUGGGAGACAGAGUCACCAUCACAUGCCAGGCAAGUGAGGACAUUAGUAAUUAUUUAUCAUGGUAUCAGCAGGAACCAGAGAAACCUCCUAAGCUCCUGAUAAGUUAUGCAGACAGCUUAGAAGAUGGGGUCCCAUCGAGGUUCAGUGGCAGUGGAUCUGGCACACAGUUUUCUCUCAAGAUCAGCAGCCUGCAGCCUGAAGAUGUGGCAACUUAUUACUGCCAACAGAAUGACAGAACCCCUCCCACAGUGAUUCAAGCCAUGACAUAA